CCUACGGGCGGCAGCAGUGAGGAAUAUUGGUCAAUGGACGAGAGUCUGAACCAGCCAAGUAGCGUGAAGGAUGACGGCCCUAUGGGUUGUAAACUUCUGUUAUAAAGGAAUAAAACGCGGCACGUGUGCCUUUUUGCAUGUACUUUAUGAAUAAGGAUCGGCUAACUCCGUGCCAGCAGCCGCGGUAAUACGGAGGAUCCGAGCGUUAUCCGGAUUGAUUGGGUUUAAAGGGAGCGUAGAUGGUUUGUUAAGUCGGUUGUGAAAGUUUGCGGCUCAACCGUAAAGUUGCCAUUGAUACUGGCAGUCUUGAGUACAGUUGAGGUAGGCGGAAUUCGUUGUGUAGCGGU
rnacentral:rRNA from 1 species